rnacentral:rRNA from 1 species
AGUGAACGCUGGCGGUAGGCCUAACACAUGCAAGUCGAACGGCAGCACAGUAAGAGCUUGCUCUUACGGGUGGCGAGUGGCGGACGGGUGAGGAAUACAUCGGAAUCUACUUUUUCGUGGGGGAUAACGUAGGGAAACUUACGCUAAUACCGCAUACGACCUACGGGUGAAAGCAGGGGAUCUUCGGACCUUGCGCGAUUGAAUGAGCCGAUGUCGGAUUAGCUAGUUGGCGGGGUAAAGGCCCACCAAGGCGACGAUCCGUAGCUGGUCUGAGAGGAUGAUCAGCCACACUGGAACUGAGACACGGUCCAGACUCCUACGGGAGGCAGCAGUGGGGAAUAGUGGACAAUGGGCGCAAGCCUGAUCCAGCCAUACCGCGUGGGUGAAGAAGGCCUUCGGGUUGUAAAGCCCUUUUGUUGGGAAAGAAAAGCAGCAGGUUAAUACCCCGCUGUUCUGACGGUACCCAAAGAAGAAGCACCGGCUAACUACGUG